GCAGUCGAACGAUGAACCACUUCGGUGGGGAUUAGUGGCGAACGGGUGAGUAACACGUGGGCAAUCUGCCCUUCACUCUGGGACAAGCCCUGGAAACGGGGUCUAAUACCGGAUAACACUGCGGAUCGCAUGGUCUGUGGUUAAAAGCUCCGGCGGUGAAGGAUGAGCCCGCGGCCUAUCAGCUUGUUGGUGAGGUAGUGGCUCACCAAGGCGACGACGGGUAGCCGGCCUGAGAGGGCGACCGGCCACACUGGGACUGAGACACGGCCCAGACUCCUACGGGAGGCAGCAGUGGGGAAUAUUGCACAAUGGGCGAAAGCCUGAUGCAGCGACGCCGCGUGAGGGAUGACGGCCUUCGGGUUGUAAACCUCUUUCAGCAGGGAAGAAGCGAAAGUGACGGUACCUGCAGAAGAAGCGCCGGCUAACUACGUGCCAGCAGCCGCGGUAAUACGUAGGGCGCAAGCGUUGUCCGGAAUUAUUGGGCGUAAAGAGCUCGUAGGCGGCUUGUCACGUCGAUUGUGAAAGCCCGAGGCUUAACCUCGGGUCUGCAGUCGAUACGGGCUAGCUAGAGUGUGGUAGGGGAGAUCGGAAUUCCUGGUGUAGCGGUGAAAUGCGCAGAUAUCAGGAGGAACACCGGUGGCGAAGGCGGAUCUCUGGGCCAUUACUGACGCUGAGGAGCGAAAGCGUGGGGAGCGAACAGGAUUAGAUACCCUGGUAGUCCACGCCGUAAACGGUGGGAACUAGGUGUUGGCGACAUUCCACGUCGUCGGUGCCGCAGCUAACGCAUUAAGUUCCCCGCCUGGGGAGUACGGCCGCAAGGCUAAACUCAAGGAAU
rnacentral:rRNA from 1 species